UCCAGACUCCUACGGGAGGCAGCAGUGAGGAAUAUUGGUCAAUGGCCGCAGGGCUGAACCAGCCAAGUCGCGUGAGGGAUGACGGUCCUAUGGAUUGUAAACCUCUUUUGUCAGGGAGCAAAGGGCGCCACGUGUGGCGUUUUGCGAGUACCUGAAGAAAAAGCAUCGGCUAACUCCGUGCCAGCAGCCGCGGUAAUACGGAGGAUGCGAGCGUUAUCCGGAUUUAUUGGGUUUAAAGGGUGCGCAGGCGGAAUGUCAAGUCAGCGGUAAAAUUUCGGGGCUCAACCCCGUCGUGCCGUUGAAACUGGCGUUCUUGAGUGAGCGAGAAGUAUGCGGAAUGCGUGGUGUAGCGGUGAAAUGCAUAGAUAUCACGCAGAACUCCGAUUGCGAAGGCAGCAUACCGGCGCUCAACUGACGCUCAUGCACGAAAGCGGGGGUAUCGAACAGGAUUAGAUACCAGUAC
rnacentral:rRNA from 1 species